CCUACGGGAGGCAGCAGUGGGGAAUAUUGGGCAAUGGGCGCAAGCCUGACCCAGCAACGCCGCGUGAAGGAAGAAGGCUUUCGGGUUGUAAACUUCUUUUAUCAGGGACGAAGGAAGUGACGGUACCUGAGGAAUAAGCCACGGCUAACUACGUGCCAGCAGCCGCGGUAAUACGUAGGUGGCAAGCGUUAUCCGGAUUUACUGGGGGUAAAGGGCGUGUAGGCGGGACUGCAAGUCAGAUGUGAAAACCGGGGGCUCAACCCGUGGACUGCAUUGGAAACUGUAGAUCUUGAGUGCAGGAGAGGCAGACGGAAUGCCUGGUGUAGCGGUGAAAUGCGUAGAUAUUAGGAGGAACACCAGUGGCGAAGGCGGUCGGCUGGACUGCAACUGACGCUGAGGCGCGAAAGCGUGGGGAGCAAACAGGAUUAGAUACCCGUGUAGUC
rnacentral:rRNA from 1 species